rnacentral:rRNA from 1 species
GACGAACGCUGGCGGCGUGCCUAAUACAUGCAAGUUGAGCGCUGAAGGUUGGUACUUGUACCAACUGGAUGAGCAGCGAACGGGUGAGUAACGCGUGGGGAAUCUGCCUUUGAGCGGGGGACAACAUUUGGAAACGAAUGCUAAUACCGCAUAAAAACUUUAAACACAAGUUUUAAGUUUGAAAGAUGCAAUUGCAUCACUCAAAGAUGAUCCCGCGUUGUAUUAGCUAGUUGGUGAGGUAAAGGCUCACCAAGGCGAUGAUACAUAGCCGACCUGAGAGGGUGAUCGGCCACAUUGGGACUUAGACACGGCCCAAACUCCUACGGGAGGCAGCAGUAGGGAAUCUUCGGCAAUGGACGAAAGUCUGACCGAGCAACGCCGCGUGAGUGAAGAAGGUUUUCGGAUCGUAAAACUCUGUUGGUAGGGAAGAACGUUGGUGAGAGUGGAAAGCUCAUCAAGUGACGGUAACUACCCAGAAAGGGACGGCUAACUACGUG